UGCAGAGGGUGCGAGCGUUAAUCGGAAUUACUGGGCGUAAAGCGUGCGUAGACGGCUAUCUAAGUCGGGUGUGAAAGCCCCGGGCUCAACCUGGGAAUUGCAUUCGAGACUGAAUAGCUAGGGUACGGUAGAGGGAAGUGGAAUUUCCGGUGUAGCGGUGAAAUGCGUAGAUAUCGGAAGGAACACCAGUGGCGAAAGCGGCUUCCUGGUCCAGCACCGACGUUCAGGCACGAAAGCGUGGG
rnacentral:rRNA from 1 species